UAUCUGACUGCCAGCAAGAUCACUGGUGUGUCCUCUUAUUUUUAACUUAAAAUAGGAAAAAAAAAAGUGCAUCUUUACAUAUUAAAAAAUCUUCAGGAAUUUUACUGGGAUAAUUAUCCAAAUAAAUUGCAAGCAUUCUAUCCAAAUGGAGCUCUUUCUGAGAUGAAGAGAAUUCUCAAUGUCAAGAUUUGAACAAGAAGAGAAUGGAAUACACAAUAUGGACAUCCAUAAAAAUUCAUCAGAGAGCAUUUUACUACUGAGCUGCAAAGGUAGGAAAAAUAAAUUUUUUUUGGUUAGAAAAUAUACUUCUUUCAUCUGCGUUUCAAUAAUUUAUUCCCCUUGUUAGAUAUACAUGGAAUUGAUAUUGCUUAUUCUGACUAAGUGAAAAGUGUUAUUUCUACUUACUGCUCAAUUAGAAACAUGUAGUGUUUAAUUGUCAGUUUGAAUUUUUCUUUCAUACUAUUACAGUUUAUAUUUUACUAUAGGCAGAAUUUCCUCUUUAUCCUAAAUUUUGAUAUUCUCCAUAAUUUCAUCGUGCCUUGACAUUGCUGUAUAUAAUUUCUAUACAUCAGGAAGGCAAUUCUGUGUGCAUGUGUGUGUGUAUAUAUAUAGUUAGAAGUUAGAAACUGAAACUCUUUUUUGUCUACCAUCAUUUCAUAUUUUUCUUGCUAUUUCAAACCUAUAAUUUUUAAAGAAACGACUAACGUAAUCAUUCAUAGAAUAUGCUGUCAGUAACUUAACAAUAUAAAUGUUAACAUGGAGGCAUUUAGUUCAGCAUUUGCUUUACUUAAUAGAGUGCAGAAAAUGUGGCCCUUUUCUCAGUUAGGGUGUAUGUGAAGAUAAAUUUAGAAUUUCUAGACUAGUAAAUACUUCUCUGAUAAUAACUUAAUUAUAGCUAUUUCAAACCAAAUUGUUUAAUUGUGGUGAAUCAUAUGUAAAUUGUUCAGAUGUAGGUCAACACCCACGCCCACAUUCUAGCACCUCUUUCCUAAUUCAAGACAACUUUGCAGUGCCUAAAAGAGCUGAACAGUGCAGAUUAGAGACAUAAGACAAAAAAAAAAAAAAAA
rnacentral:lncRNA from 1 species